AUUGAACGCUGGCGGCAGGCCUAACCCAUGCAAGUCGAGCGGAGCGGCGGACGGGUGAUUAAUGACUAGGAAUCUGCCUGGUAGUGGGGGAUAACGUCCGGAAACGGGCGCUAAUACCGCAUCCUAUCAGAUGAGCCUCGGUCGGAUUAGCUAGUUGGUGGGUUAAAGGCCUACCCAGGCGACGAUCCGUACCUGGUCUGAGCGGAGGAUCAGUCACACUGGAACUGCGACACGGUCAAGACUGCUACGGGAGGCAGCAGUGGGGAAUAUUGCACAAUGGGGGAAAGCCUGAUGCAGCCAUGCCGCGUGUAUGAAGAAGGCUUUCGGGUUGUAAAGUACUUUCAGCGGGGAGGCGUUAACCGCAGAAGAAGCACCGGCUAACUCCGUGCCAGCAGCCGCGGUAAUUC
rnacentral:rRNA from 1 species